rnacentral:lncRNA from 1 species
AUAAAUUGCAACAUUAAGGGAUAUGAAAUCACAGAUCACUCAACAAUAGAUUCAAACAAGAAAAAAAAUCCAAAUAUUCGAGUACAGAACUUAGAUACAAAUCAAUGAAACAAGAUAGAAAGCGUCAAAAGGUACGCACCCGAUCGGAGGCGUCUUGAACUGUGGGAGGUGGUUCUUUGUCUUUCUUCGCUCCAAACACUCUCCUCAUAGCUUCUUCUUUGGAUUUCUUCUUCGAUUAUUGCAGUGAGGAUUGGAGUUUCAGUUAAAUAGAGAUUAUUAGGAAGAAUUUUGAUUUUUUUUAUUUGUGUUGGAAGAAUGAUCAACUCAAAUCUACGAAAUUGUGAUCUGACUUUAGGGGAAGGGGAAGGGGAAGAUUUAGCGAAGUUUCCAGGAAAUAAAAUAAUUGAAACCAAUGGACAUAUUCCUGUACGCGUUGAGCAUUUGGAAGCUUGUUUACGCGCUAGAUAUCAUUUUGCCAUUGUUUGGUACCGUAUAA